rnacentral:rRNA from 1 species
AUUGAACGCUGGCGGCAGGCCUAACACAUGCAAGUCGAGCGGCUGAAGGGAUCUUUCUCCUGGAUUCAGCGGCGGACGGGUGAGUAAUGCCUAGGAAUCUGCCUGGUAGUGGGGGAUAUCGUCCGGAAACGGGCGCUAUUACCGCAUACGUCCUGAGGGAGAAAGUGGGGGAUCUUCGGACGUCACGCUCUCUGAUGAGCCUAGGUCGGAUUAGCUAGUUGGUGGGGUAAAGGCCUACCAAGGCGACGAUCCGUAACUGGUCUGAGAGGAUGAUCAGUCACACUGGAACUGAGACACGGUCCAGACUCCUACGGGAGGCAGCAGUGGGGAAUAUUGGACAAUGGGCGAAAGCCUGAUCCAGCAAUGCCGCGUGUGUGAAGAAGGUCUUCGGAUUGUAAAGCACUUUAAGUUGGGAGGAAGGGCAGUAAGUUAAUACCUUGCUGUGUUGACGUUACCAACAGAAUAAGCACCGGCUAACUACGUG